AACCUUAUAAGUUUGUGAUUAUCUCUCCAAAAGAAGAAUGCAUACUUAUUUGUUAAAGUAACCAAAUAUUGUAUAAGCAUCUACGCAUCUUUUCCAAAAAUACCAAUAGUGGUAGCAGCACUUAUCCAAAAAAUUUCAACAUGGUAUUAGAGCAUAUGUAAAAUUUUAAUAUUUCUAACCAUUAUGGUAGUUCUUUUUAUUCUUUAUAUUUUUUUUUAUAUAUUUUUUACAUUUUAUAGCAUCUAUUCAGGCAGUUCUAGACCGAUCUUGCCAGGAGCUAGCCUCACCCAUAGGGCGAGAUUGAAUUACUUGGCCAAGUCCCGACAUACAUUCUUUAUAAUAACUGUGGAUUAUCUUUGAUCAGCGCAAUAUGUGCUACAAUAACUGUGGAUUUUCUUUGAUCAGUGCAAUAUGCGUGCGAAAAUUACAUGACAAUUUGAUAUGACUUGGAUCAACAUCGACCUUCCAAUUAACCUGUGACCGAUAAUCCUGAUAUUUCAUUUGACUAUACAAUAACAUAACUAUAUUUGUGUAUGAUUCUUUCUAGGCACCCACGGUGGCAGUGAAGUUGGCGAUUUCUGAGAAAGAGUUAAUGUUUGGUAAUAUUCUUAUUUUAAAGAUAUUGAACCUCUAAGUCAGUUUCAAUAUUCCAUUGUUAUUAUUGAAUAGAUUGAUCUCUCUUCGAGUUUCUUCAGUACUUCAAUUGUUGUCUUUUCAUGGUUGAACAGGCAUAAACAUUCUUGAUUUAAUCUAUGUUGUAUUUCUUUUCUCCAUGUGGACGUUAGAUUUGCUUUUUUGCCUUGUGAUGCAUGUAUUAGUAGGUGCAAAAGUAUGCCAUAAAGAUUGUACUUCUGCUUUUUUUUUUGGGAAGGUUUAC
rnacentral:lncRNA from 1 species